GAUGAACGCUGGCGGCGUGCCUAAUACAUGCAAGUCGAGCGAACAGACGAGGAGCUUGCUCCUCUGACGUUAGCGGCGGACGGGUGAGUAACACGUGGAUAACCUACCUAUAAGACUGGGAUAACUUCGGGAAACCGGAGCUAAUACCGGAUAAUAUAUUGAACCGCAUGGUUCAAUAGUGAAAGACGGUUUUGCUGUCACUUAUAGAUGGAUCCGCGCCGCAUUAGCUAGUUGGUAAGGUAACGGCUUACCAAGGCAACGAUGCGUAGCCGACCUGAGAGGGUGAUCGGCCACAAUGGAACUGAGACACGGUCCAGACUCCUAAGGGAGGCAGCAGUAGGGAAUCUUCCGCAAUGGGCGAAAGCUUGACGGAGCAACGACGCGUGAGUGAUGAAGGUCUUCGGAUCGUAAAACUCUGUUAUUAGGGAAGAACAAAUGUGUAAGUAACUAUGCACGUCUUGACGGUACCUAAUCAGAAAGACACGGCUAACUACGUG
rnacentral:rRNA from 1 species